GCCGGUGCGUGCCUGUAGUCCUAGCUACUUGGGAGGCUAAGGCUGGAGGAUCGCUUGAGUCCAGGAGUUCUGGGCUGUAGUGCACUAAGCCGAUCGGGUUUCUGCAUUAAGUUCAGCAUCAAUAUGGUGACCUCCCCGGAGCGGGGGACCACCAGGUUGCCUAAGGAGGGGUGAACCAGCCCAGGUCAGAAAUGGAGCAGGUCAAAACUCCCGUGCUGAUCAGUAGUGGGAUUGCGCCUGUGACUAGCCACUGCACUCCAGCCUGGGCAACAGAGCGAGACCCUGUCUCU
ensembl:misc_RNA Metazoa_SRP Metazoan signal recognition particle RNA